rnacentral:ncRNA from 2 species
UUCUUAUCAGCCGGAUAAGGUUUUACUGCACGUAAAUUAAUAGGGAAUUGUGUGUAAAUCACAAGCUGUCCCGCAACUGUAAGUAACUAAAAGGUUUUGCCAAUCAAUGUCCACUGCCGCAAGGUGGGAAGGACGGCAAAAUGUUACAAGCCAGGAGACCUGCCUUACCGGAUUUGACAGU